ACUGAAGGUGCAAGCGUUAAUCGGAAUUACUGGGCGUAAAGCGCGCGUAGGCGGUUUGUUAAGUUGGAUGUGAAAGCCCAGGGCUCAACCUUGGAACUGCAUCCGAUACUGGCAGGCUAGAAUAUGGAAGAGGAGGAGAGAAUUUCAGGUGUAGCGGUGAAAUGCGUAGAGAUCUGAAGGAAUACCAGUGGCGAAGGCGGCCUCCUGGCCUAAUAUUGACGCUGAGGUGCGAAAGCGUGGGGAGCAAACAGGAUUAGAUACCCCGGCGUA
rnacentral:rRNA from 1 species